rnacentral:rRNA from 1 species
UACAGAGGUCUCAAGCGUUGUUCGGAUUCAUUGGGCGUAAAGGGUGCGUAGGCGGCGCGGUAAGUCGGGUGUGAAAUCUCGGGGCUUAACUCCGAAACUGCAUUCGAUACUGCCGUGCUUGAGGACUGGAGAGGAGACUGGAAUUUACGGUGCAGCGGUGAAAUGCGUAGAUAUCGUAAGGAAGACCAGUGGCGAAGGCGGGUCUCUGGACAGUUCCUGACACUGAGACACGAAGGCCAGGGGAGCAAACGGG